AGAGUUUGAUCAUGGCUCAGAAUGAACGCUGGCGGCGUGUUUAAGACAUGCAAGUCGCACGGGGGAAUGUGAGUAGCAAUACGAAUGUUCUUCAGUGGCGCACGGGUGCGUAACACGUGAGUUACAUGCCCUGCAGAGGGGGAUAGCCCAGGGAAACUUGGAUUAAUACCCCAUGGUCUCGCAAGAGUAAAGGUGGCGAAAGCUGCCGCUGCAGGAUUGGCUCGCGGCCUAUCAGCUAGUUGGUGAGGUAACGGCUCACCAAGGCUACGACGGGUACCUGGUCUGAGAGGACGAUCAGGCACACUGGAACUGAGACACGGUCCAGACACCUACGGGUGGCAGCAGUCGAGAAUCAUUCACAAUGGGGGCAACCCUGAUGGUGCAACGCCGCGUGGAGGAUGAAGGUCUUCGGAUUGUAAACUCCUGUCAUCUAGGAGCAAGGCAUGGUGGUGAAUAGCCAACAUGAUUGAUAGUACUAGAAGAGGAAGGGACGGCUAACUUCGUGCCAGCAGCCGCGGUAAUACGAAGGUCCCGAGCGUUAUUCGGAAUCACUGGGCGUAAAGGGAGCGUAGGCGGCGUGGAAAGUCAGAUGUGAAAUCCCGGGGCUCAACCCCGGAACUGCAUCCGAUACUACCAUGCUAGAGUAUUGGAGGGGUAACUGGAAUUCUCGGUGUAGCAGUGAAAUGCGUGGAUAUCGAGAGGAACACCUGUGGCGAAAGCGAGUUACU
rnacentral:rRNA from 1 species